rnacentral:rRNA from 1 species
UCGAGGGGCAGCACAUGAAGUAGCAAUACGAUGGUGGCGACCGGCGCACGGGUGCGUAACACGUAUGCAACCUACCUGUAAGAGGGGAAUAACCCGGAGAAAUUCGGACUAAUACCGCAUAACACUUUAUCUCUGCAUGGAGAUACAGUUAAACAUUUAUGGCUUACAGAUGGGCAUGCGUAUGAUUAGCUAGUUGGUGAGGUAACGGCUCACCAAGGCAACGAUCAUUAGGGGUUCUGAGAGGAAGGUCCCCCACACUGGUACUGAGACACGGACCAGACUCCUACGGGAGGCAGCAGUGAGGAAUAUUGGCCAAUGGGCGAGAGCCUGAACCAGCCAAGUCGCGUGAAGGAUGACUGCCCUAUGGGUUGUAAACUUCUUUUGUAAGGGAAUAAAAAAAGGUACGUGUACUUUAUUGUAUGUACUUUACGAAUAAGGAUCGGCUAACUCCGUGCCAGCAGCCGCGGUAAUACGGAGGAUCCAAGCGUUAUCCGGAUUUAUUGGGUUUAAAGGGUGCGUAGGCGGACCCUUAAGUCAGUGGUGAAAGUUUGCAGCUCAACUGUAAAAUUGCCAUUGAAACUGAGGGUCUUGAGUGUAAAUGAGGUAGGCGGAAUGUGUUGUGUAGCGGUGAAAUGCUUAGAUAUAACACAGAACACCAAUUGCGAAGGCAGCUUACUGGGAUACACCUGACGCUGAGGCACGAAAGCGUGGGGAUCAAACAGGAUUAGAUACCCUGGUAGUCCACGCAGUAAACGAUGAAUACUAACUGUAUGCGAUAUACUGUAUGUGGUAA